rnacentral:lncRNA from 1 species
UGACUGCAUGAGGAAGCCUGUGACCUUCUGAUGCAGUUACAGCUAUGAAUAUCUUUGUGAGAUAAGACUGAAACAGUCACCUGGGAAAGCAAGGAGUGCAGACGCCAAGACGAUUGUAGGGUAUUCCUAAUCCUGUGCAUGGGCCAGACGCAGAGGAUCAUGGAACAGGAAAGGGUAUCCAUAAAAGGAGAAAACAUGACUGAAGACACUGAAAUCCUCCUACCCGUCCUGAAGGCUGCACUGACUGCAUCUACACACAGCUGUGACCUCCCAUUCUCCACAGGUGUCUGGCCACAACUCCAGUUCAGGAAGAAACCUGGAUCCUGAAGCAGCUUGUUUUCACACAGGCAGAGAUGGAUAACAGCUUCUAUAGUGCAGCUUGCCAGUGUUUAAUUUUGCUGCAGUCCUAAGGGUCAGGUAAAUGUGGCAUGCGCAUGGGUACACAUGUACAAUAAAUAUAAUGUCUGUGUGUGUUGGAAGGGAGGG